GCUCUGUUUAUCUCUCUCAUCUAGAUCCUUGAACACCCAUAGCCUUUACCUCAAAUGUGCUUUGGCUGACGACUAAUCAUUAUGUAAGAGCCAAUUGUUGACGCACUGAAACUCUCUGGUCCCACGGAGAUGUGACAUUCUCCCGCGAAAACGUCACGGCUCCCUCACUGUGACCUCAAUGCCUGCCAUGGUAGACGUUGAGCAAAAUGACGACCGCCUCUCCUUGAUGCAAGAAAGGAAAGCUAACUAAAACAAUCCAUUUUUUAAUCUCUUGCCCUCUCUUUCUCUCUUGCUGCUGCUCAUCCGAAAGAAUAGCCGGAUUCGCGUAGGGGAAAGACAGAGCAAGAAAUGGGAGAGAAACAGGGGAGAGAUGAAGAUAUAGCGUGUUGUGGCAGGUCGUACGGUCUUUACGGUUCUCAUAUUUAUUUUGUUUCCCAGAUUCUGGCAGACGAUGGAGAAGUAAGAAAAGAAGAGGUCGGCGGGCAACCAAGACGGCAAGGCAAGAAAAAUGCGAAGCUGCGGACAGACGAAUUGCUGGUAGACCUCUGAUUUGAAGGAUACGAACGUGGUUGGAGCUCGGGAACAAGGAGAAGAGCAGCCGGAGCCCUGUCUUCCGGUGGGAGGAUUUGACCGCCUCAGUGACACGGCCCGCGAUGCUGCCAUCGCCAAACCAUCCUCGGCGACGGCGAUUGGAAGGAGUAGAUUAUUAGGAGGUUGACAUUGUGCUUGCUGGGGACAUGCCACUAAGUUAGGCCUACGACAUUGGAUAAGAUCUUCAAGAGAGGAUUGAGCAGCUUUCUCAGGUGGAGCAUUCAUUUGUGCAUUUAGAUUUUGAGUGUACCCAUCAACCUGAGCAUAACAAGAAGGUAGUUGGUUCUGACACAAAUUUAUCCGUUUGCUGUUGGUGCUUCCUUGCCAUGGACAAACGGGUUCAUUCUAGUGCAUCUGAGAUGCUUCAGGAUAUGCUUAUCAACAAAAAUAUGCGUGUUACUGCUCUGAAGGUUCAUCAUGUGAUUAUUCUAAUCUCUUUCCAUUCUCCCAAAGCUCCCACAGUUACUGGGUAUCGAGGGGAAGAUGAUGAUCCCUAGUAAUUUUUAGUAUAAUUAAUGUUAGCACGGAGUGCUUUAUCGGACUAAGUCACCAAGUUUUUUCUUUUUGUGCUUGGGCAUGUCAUUUUCGAGGCAUUGCUAUUUCUUGUUCUCGGCAGAUAUAUACCACUAAUUGACUGUUAAAUUGAGGAUAUCACUUCUGCUGACGUUUGUUCCACUUCCAUCCGUGAAAGGACCUCAUUUUUUGGGC